GUGGCUGUAGCUCAAUUGGUAGAGUACAGGAUUGUGGUUCCUGGUGUUGUGGGUUCGAGUCCCAUCAGCCACC
rnacentral:tRNA from 1 species